UAUUCGUGAUCUUAAUUGUUUGACUAUUUGAUGAAAUAGUUAGACACUAUCUGUGGCGUGUGAAUUGAACUAGGGAUAGGGAAUUUGCAUGUGUAAUAAGAAUAAAUAGAGCUUGUUCGAUUAAUCAUUUCGCUAAUGAGGAUAGGAAUAUACCCUUUAGCCUUGUUUAGUUGAAUACGGAAAAGUAAAUGCAUUCUUGUUACCUCUGGCGACAAUAGGAAUAAUAUAGGUGUUAUAGUAGCAUCUACAGGCUUGUGAGCGACUCAGAAGGUACUCAUAAAGUUAACAUCAACUUGUCAACUAGUAACCCAUAGGUAGAACGAUUUGAAGACUCAACUAGAUUGUUAGUGGUCAUAGCCCGAGAUCUAUCUCUUCUCCGAUAAAAAUCCUCUCUUUCUUGGUUGAAGUUCAUUAGUUGCUUUCUUUUAUUUUUAUUUAGUUUAUAAAUAUAACUUUGGAUUUUAUUUCUUGUUUAGAUAAUUAUCAUUAGUUUAAUUUAGUAAAUAGUUAAUUAUAAGUCUCUGUGGGUACGAUAUCUGGACUGUAAUUCUAUAUUACUUGUACGACCACGUAUACUUGCGUGUGCGUUUGGGAGCAACAACAUCAUCCUUCAUUUUCUUGACAUCCAGGGCAAUGUGGGUGCACUUAGAUUACUUUUUUAGGAAAGGCUAGUGAGCAAUUAAGAUCUCAACACAAAGAUUCCUAAUACUUGCUGAAGAGCUUUCUAUUUUUCCCUUACUGAAGUCUGGCUGUGAAUAAUAAUUUCAGAGCAAAUUUUAGUUUCUUUUUUUCAGGGAUUAUUUGAGUGAGUGCAUGCAAAUAUUGUGUUGUUUCUUUUUCAGGGAUUAUUUGAGUGAGUGCAUGCAAAUAUUGUGUUUCAUAGUAAAUUGACAAAAGCUUACGGUAGACGGUAGUUAUACCUUUAUACUUUCUGGUAGCUUGACUGAAGUUUAUUCUCGGUUCAUAAUAUUGAAGAUUUUGAUCUCAAUUAAAAUACUUAUUUUUCAGGACCAGCGCGAAGAGAAUUUUAUGGGUUACUUGCUACUUUCCACCGAUUCAGUCCAUCUAAUUCAGAUUUGCUCGGGGACGUUCAAACAAAGAGUUAAUGAGGAGCAACAAUCACUUGGUAAGAGUAAUAGGAGGCUGUAAGAGACUUUUUAUCCAUUCAUUGAGAAUGAAAAAGGUACAUUCUAGCAGAAGAAGCAUUGAGGAUUGUUGAGUACGAUAUUGAUGAUGAUAAAUAAAAUAUCCUUGUCCUGAUUGUGUUUUAUUCAUAGUUUGUCAAGAAAUAAUAAGGAUACAAAAAAAGCAAUUUAGCAAUAGUUGAUUGUCUGGUAGGAUAUAUUUGUUGCUAAAUUACUAUGAGUAAGUAUCCUAUAUUAUUAUUGAGUUUUCAUCUGCAGGGAUUUAUCAAAAAGGAGUUGGAAUUGAACAAGGAGUCAACAAGAUCCGAAUUAGAUAAGGAAAGGAAUUUGGUUUAACUUCUACUUGUUAUUCCUCUUCAAGUUGGAAUCUAACAAGAUGGAACAAGCGUAUAAUCUAUAAAUAAGGUCUAUCAACGUUCUGAAGAGUCCAUACAGAUACAAAUAUUUCAGCAGCCAGAGUUUCUUUGAAUUCCAAGGAAAGAAGCCUGAAAUACGAAAUAGAAUUGGGUCAGUGUCUAUGUAUGUUUAAAAGUCUGUUCCAUAGGUUGAAACAUAUUCUCUUUUGUGUCAACUCUAGUGAAUGUAAUAGGUUUUGAUUUGUAAUCUUUUAUCAUCUUUAUUAUAAGCAUUAGUUAAGGUUAUAACACUUUCUAAGUUUGUUGUUUUCGUUUACAAGUUAAAGGUAGCUUGAAAGGUAGUAGCAAUUUAGGAUUGUUGUAAAGGGCUUAGGAGUUGGUCCUUUGGAUUGUGAGGGGUAAUCCAAUUUGGCUUGGUGUUUUA